AUAUUUUGACAAACGCUAUAUGCACAAUAUAGAGGAAAGUCCAUGCUCACACAGACUGAGAUGCCUGUAGUGUUCGUGCUAGAGGAAAAAAUAACUCUAGGUAGUUUAUAACUAACGGCGACGAAAUAAUCUAAGUCUUAUGAUAUGAUUAAAGUAGUUGUAAAGUGUCAAAGCGACGAAGAAGCUGGAAACGGUGGAAGUGGAACGCGAUAAACCCCACGAGUGAGAAACUCAAAUUUUGGUAGAGGAGCUCUAACAAAGGAAUCAAACGGAGUUAGGGACUAGCGAAAGCUAGUAGAUAAAUGUUUGUCGCCUAGGAAACUAGGAACAGAACAUGGCUUAUAAAA
rnacentral:RNase_P_RNA from 1 species